ACAGAACAGCUAGCCUUAACACAUAAACAAAUAAUCAACUAUAAAUACCACAACAACAGAAAUUAAAAUAAACCAUUCUUCCCCCUAAGUAUAGGCGAUAGAAAAGGAUACCAGAGCCAUAGAAAAAGUACCGCAAGGGAAAGCUGAAAAAGAAGUGAAAAAACCCAUAUAAGUUACAAAAAGCAGAGACUAGUCCUCGUACCUUUUGCAUCAUGGUUUAGCAAGCACAUUCCAAGCAAAGAGCCCCUUCAGUUUGGACCCCCGAAACUAGACGAGCUACUCCGAGGCAGUCUUUCAGGACUAACCCGUCUCUGUGGCAAAAGAGUGGGAAGACCCCCGAGUAGAGGCGACAAGCCUACCGAGCCUAGUUAUAGCUGGUUGCUUAAGAAAUGAAUGUUAGUUCAGCCUUAUAUAUUUCUAAAACCAGAUAGAACAAAGAAUAAAGCAACAUAUAAGAGUUAGUCAAAGGGGGUACAGCCCCUUUGAAACAGGACACAACCUUAUUAGAAGGACAAGGAUCAUACAUCUCAAGGGAGACAUCUCCUCAGUAGGCCUAAAAGCAGCCACCUGAACAGAAAGCGUCAAAGCUCUGGAAAGAAUAAACCACUAAUAAAGAUAACACCCUCCUCACCCCCUAAAUAUAUUAAGCCGCUCUAUAUAAAUAUAGAAGAGAUAAUGCUAAAAUUAGUAAUAAGAGAUUACCAGAAUCUCUCCUGACACACGUGUAAGUCAAAUCGGACAAACCACUGACAGAUAACGGACCUAAAAGAAGGAAAAACAACAAAUAAAACAAACAAGAAAACACUGUACCACUAAUUAACCGUUAAUCCAACACAGGGGUGUCUCAAGGAAAGACUAAAAGGGGUAGAAGGAACUCGGCAAACACAAACCCCGCCUGUUUACCAAAAACAUCGCCUCUUGCUAAUAAAAGAUGUAUUAGAGGUCCCGCCUGCCCUGUGACCACAGCGUUUAACGGCCGCGGUAUUCUGACCGUGCGAAGGUAGCGUAAUCACUUGUCUUUUAAAUGAAGACCUGUAUGAAAGGCAUCACGAGGGUUUAACUGUCUCCUUCCCCCAGUCAAUGAAAUUGAUCUGCCCGUGCAGAAGCGGGCAUAAAAACAUAAGACGAGAAGACCCUGUGGAGCUUUAGGCCAAGAAUCAACCAUGUAAUAUAGAUUGACCCUCACAAGACCAAUAAAAAUCUUUAAGCCAAGUGUAAUAUGGUUCAAGUGCCUUCGGUUGGGGCGACCGCGAGGGAAAACAAAGCCCCCGCAUGGAACGGAGACAUCUCCUAAACCAAGAAAGACAGCUCAAAGCAACAGAACAUCUGACCAAAAAUGACCCAGGACAAUAAACCUGAUCAAUGAACCAAGUUACCCCAGGGAUAACAGCGCAAUCCUUUCCCAGAGCCCCUAUCGACGAAAGGGUUUACGACCUCGAUGUUGGAUCAGGACAUCCUAACGGUGCAGCCGCUGUUAAGGGUUCGUUUGUUCAACGAUUAAUAGUCCUACGUGAUCUGAGUUCAGACCGGAGUAAUCCAGGUCGGUUUCUAUCUAUGAAGCCACUUCUUCCCAGUACGAAAGGGCCGGAAAAAGGGGGCCCAUACUAAAGGCAAGCCCCACCCUCACCUUCUGAAAACAAAUAAAAAGGUAAAGGGGGAACAACACCCAACCAGAGAUAAUGGCAU
rnacentral:rRNA from 1 species